AUGCCAGCCUUUGAGCAGCUGCUCAACCCAGUCUUGGAAAAUGAAAUGGGAGAGCUCCCCAACUGUAUUUUUGGAACUUCCUGUGAAUGGCUCUCUAACUCCCUGAAUGGCUGCUCUCCACCCUACACUCGUGAGAUGAAGAAAACUCACCAGGGAACCUGCAGGAUAAGAGAGAAAUGCACCAAAAACCUUCUGGUGGUGUGCUGCAGCUUCUUGCUGCCUUCUGGACUUGGGCUGACUGGCAGAGUGAUGUCAGCCAAUACAGACUCACGUGGAGUUUUGCUAAGGCAGACUCGACUGCUGAGACAAGACACAUGGUGAAGCAAGACCCAUGGAGGACACAUGAUGUUUGGAGGGAGUAUUAAUAGGACUCAACAGACUGUGAGAGAGGCUGGCUUACAUAGCUAUCUUUGCAAAACUUCUUGGUCUCAUGUCUUCCCUGAUCUUUGCUUCACUGAGAGAAGCACAGCCAAGAGCUUAUCCUGGUGGCCUUGGUGAUCCUGGUGGCUCCUGCUGACGUGUCCCGAUUCGGCUGAGGCCUGGCUGAUCCUGCUGGGUCCUGCCACCACUGCUGAUUCGUGUUUGCUAUCCCGACACUACAGAACUGGAAUGCUGGUACAUUCAUGAAGUAUUUGCAAGUGGAUAGAGCUGCCACUGAUGAAUUCUGUGAACUGAACUGCUGAUUUCCUGACAACGCAGAUGAGAUUUGCUCCAAAGAACAAUUUCCAAACAAGUCCACUUCCCCGAAUCCAAUUAAUCUUUCCCUUCCACUACCUCUGAUGGGUGGUGGGCUAGAAGGAAGGUUAAAGCAUUUAAGAACCCAUAUUAAAAGUAGGCUUUGAAAAAAACUAAGACAACAAUAUAAUAAUGGAUGAAACAAUGCAAACUUAAAGCCAAGUUACGGAAGGUCUGAAAAAGUAAUACAAAGUUUAUGAGGAAUGAGUUUAUUAAUGUUCCCAAGGAUAUAACAAUCUAGUCAUGAUAGUAAAGAUUUAAAGUGUGUGUCUAAUCACUUAUAUCUUCUCUAGUUUUGUUAAGCUUUGCCAUCUGGGAAAACGGAGUCCCAGCAAUAGAGAUAGUAAUGAUUCAUUGCACACAGUUUCAUCCUAUGAAUGUCUAUUUAAGAAAUCUGUCUGAUCUGCUCUCCUGAAUUAUGAAGAAAAUGAGCUUGCUUGAGAAAAAAAAUAAUGUCAGAUGCUAACAUUCCAGGAAAUCUCAUUUUAGAAAUGAGGAUUCCAAAAUAAAAGAAAAUGCCUGUUUGGGGAAAAAUAAAUGCUAAGAAGGGAUAAAGUCACCUUUCAGUUUG
rnacentral:lncRNA from 1 species